GGAUCCUUGAAGAGAGAAAAGCCCAGGAAAUCAGUCUGAUCAGUCUGAUGACACAGUUCAGCUAAGGAGCAGAGUACUCAAGGAACGUGUCACAGGGCAGCUCCUUCCCCCAGGCCCUCUUUUUCUUCCAGGAACAUGAGAAUAGACUGAUAAAUGGAAAAUCCUUCUUCCCUGCAAACAGAGCCACCACACCAGGUAAUUCCUUUGUGGCAGGAAAAAGAUCUCAGAUCCUUUGGUCUCCAUCCUCUGUGGUAGAGGCCUGCUGGCAACUUUUCAACAGAGAAUAAUGCAGCAGGACCACUGCUAACUGGAAAUAUCAAACAUGUCUGUGUGUGUACCUGGGCACAGCCCACCUCAACUGCAGCACUGCAGGAAGGUGGCAUUUUGUAAGAAUGCAUUUCCAUGCAAAAGCUUCUUUGGUGGCAGCAAGAGGCACUCAGGAGUGUAAAGCUACACACUAGCUCCCCCAGCAGCACCACAGACAAACGUUUGCUUUUACACUCCCUGCUGGAGAUGCAGGAGUGGACAGUGCACUCAGACAACAGCAGACAACAGAAGUGAAUACUCCUGGUUUUGUAAGCAUGUGUUCUUCAAGAAAAGACAUCUUAGAAGAAAAGACAUCUUAAAUGUAAUAGAUUUUAAAUCAUUUGUGCCAACUCUCGUUUUUUUAUGUUUUUCUCUCAGCAGCACCUACUACUUCCUGAUGUUUGGCUUUUAUAAAGGGUUCUUGGUGCACUCUGGGAUGAAAAACACAAUUGUUUUUCUCAAGGCAACCAGAAGAAAAUAUUUUAGGCUGAGAUUUUCAUAACAGCUUUACUGCCUUCCUAAAGGAAGAGAUCACCUGAUUCCCUGGAAACAUUGGAGAAAAAUCACCUCACUCCACCACAUUUACAUCUGCUUGGCAAUGUGUGGUGUGUGAAGGACUUUCGGCACUGGAACAUUUGGACCAGGAGCAGAUCCUCUGAGGCAUUUUAUAGACUGACAGGAGAGAGAAAAGGUGGCUGAGGAAAUGGGAGCCGGUCAAGGUGACCAGAGAAGUUCACUGCUCUCUUAUCUCCCCUAACACGGCCAAGUUCUCACUCUCUAUCUGCUGCUCAGCCAGGCCAUUGCUCAAGGUGAGUGUGUGAUAACCCCUAAUCAGCCAAUAUCAGAGCACUGGGGUGUCUGGCACAGGGUGACAGUGCCCAUGGUCUGUGUGGCACGAGCAGCAGCCUAACACUCUCUUCACCCUGCAUGGCAUAACAUGAGGUUGGAUGAGGAGAGAUCUUCCCCAGCAAAAGCAAACACUGCCAAAACGCUUCACCUCUUUUAUCUUUCCAUCAGCUUUUACAGCAGAACAUUAUGGAGCAGUUUCACUUCCUCAGUGAAAGAAAAUAAAGUCAGUAUAAUUUCCUUCUGGCCAAAAUGUACUCUGGGGAAAAGACUCUGGAAAUUGUGCUCCUUGGAGCAUGUGUGUGGAGGUGGUUUGUGAUGCAUAUAUAGUGAAGGGGCUUUCAAACAAGUGAGAAACAUGUCUACUGUGUUCAGGGUGUCACUAAAAUGUGUACAACACAUGUAUGAACGGAGACCACUGCAGUAACACAAUCAAAGUAAAAACUUUGUCAGUUCUCUGUUCUGUAGAGUGAAACCACCAAAGACACAACUCAGCAGACAGUGACCAUGUUUCACAUUCAUCAUUUCCAUGAGGUCUUUAUGGAUAGACUACCAGUCCUCCCACAGCUACUUAUAAAUAAAUGCCUAUCAGAAAUAUUGAUUUUAUUUCCCUGACUGCACAAACAGCACUUCAGCUGCAAACAGACAGAUAUGACAAACCUCUUUUGCAAACAAACAAGGGUGAGGGGAGCACACAA